AGAUUAAGUUAUUAAGGGCGCACGGUGGAUGCCUUGGCACUAGAAGCCGAUGAAGGACGUUACUAACGACGAUAUGCUUUGGGGAGCUGUAAGUAAGCUUUGAUCCAGAGAUUUCCGAAUGGGGAAACCCAGCAUGAGUUAUGUCAUGUUAUCGAUAUGUGAAUACAUAGCAUAUCAGAAGGCACACCCGGAGAACUGAAACAUCUUAGUACCCGGAGGAAGAGAAAGAAAAUUCGAUUCCCUUAGUAGCGGCGAGCGAAACGGGAAGAGCCCAAACCAACAAGCUUGCUUGUUGGGGUUGUAGGACACUCUAUACGGAGUUACAAAGGACGACAUUAGACGAAUCAUCUGGAAAGAUGAAUCAAAGAAGGUAAUAAUCCUGUAGUCGAAAAUGUUGUCUCUCUUGAGUGGAUCCUGAGUACGACGGACACGUGAAAUUCCGUCGGAAUCUGGGAGGACCAUCUCCUAAGGCUAAAUACUCUCUAGUGACCGAUAGUGAACCAGUACCGUGAGGGAAAGGUGAAAAGCACCCCGGAAGGGGAGUGAAAUAGAACCUGAAACCGUGUGCUUACAAGUAGUCAGAGCCCGUUAAUGGGUGAUGGCGUGCCUUUUGUAGAAUGAACCGGCGAGUUACGAUUUGAUGCAAGGUUAAGCAGUAAAUGUGGAGCCGUAGCGAAAGCGAGUCUGAAUAGGGCGUUUAGUAUUUGGUCGUAGACCCGAAACCAGGUGAUCUACCCUUGGUCAGGUUGAAGUUCAGGUAACACUGAAUGGAGGACCGAACCGACUUACGUUGAAAAGUGAGCGGAUGAACUGAGGGUAGCGGAGAAAUUCCAAUCGAACCUG
rnacentral:rRNA from 1 species